rnacentral:rRNA from 1 species
CGGUGGCUAAUACCGGAUAUGACCAUGCUCGGCAGUCGGGUGUGGUGGAAAGUUUUUUCGGGCCAGGGGAUGUGCUCGCGGCCUAUCAGCUUGUUGGUGGGGGUAAAUGGCCUACCAAGGCUUCGACGGGUAGCCGGCCUGAGAGGGUGACCGGCCACACUGGGACUGAGACACGGCCCAGACUCCUACGGGAGGCAGCAGUGGGGAAUAUUGGACAAUGGGCGGAAGCCUGAUCCAGCAACGCCGCGUGAGGGAUGACGGCCUUCGGGUUGUAAACCUCUUUCAGUACCGACGAAGCGCCGAUGAUGGUGGUGACGGUAGGUACAGAAGAAGCACCGGCCAACUACGUG